CCAGACUCCUACGGGAGGCAGCAGUGGGGGAUAUUGCACAAUGGGGGAAACCCUGAUGCAGCGACGCCGCGUGAGUGAAGAAGUAUUUCGGUAUGUAAAGCUCUAUCAGCAGGGAAGAAAAUGACAGUACCUGACCAAGAAGCCCCGGCUAACUACGUGCCAGCAGCCGCGGUAAUACGUAGGGGGCAAGCGUUAUCCGGAUUUACUGGGUGUAAAGGGAGCGUAGACGGUUAUGUAAGUCUGGAGUGAAAGCCCGGGGCCCAACCCCGGGACUGCUUUGGAAACUGUGUAACUGGAGUACAGGAGGGGCAGGCGGAAUUCCUGGUGUAGCGGUGAAAUGCGUAGAUAUCAGGAGGAACACCAGUGGCGAAGGCGGCUUACUGGACUGUAACUGACGUUGAGGCUCGAAAGCGUGGGGAGCAAACAGGAUUAGAUACCCUUGUA
rnacentral:rRNA from 1 species